UGGGUAAAAUUUGUGUUGUGAAAAGUUGUCCAAGUGGACGUAAACCCCAAAACAAAAAAAAUAGUUCACCUCAGCCUCUUUCGUAUUUCCAACCAACAACACCGGCAAGAUUACAAAAUUGGAAAAUUUCGCUGGGUAUUGAAUUAAAAGCUACUGAUUACAUCUGUCAUCUCCAUUUUAAAGAGGAGCAAAUAAAAAUGUACGAGAAACUGUACAUAAAAGAAGAGCUCGUAAUUAUGCCUUUAGGAAAAAAAAUACUAAAAGAAGAAGCUUUACCAACGAUCCAGCAUCAGUUUAUUCCGGUUCUUUUUCCUAACAAUGACGAACUGCCUCUAAACGAAAAAAUUAAUUCAUUAAGUUGUAUCUAUGACUACUUGAAAUCAGUGGAAAGAUGGCCUUUAUGUGUUGGUACUCAGAUUGACAGUAUAAAG